UUUUCCUGUUGAAUUUGCUUUUCAAAGACUGCUUCAAAUCCUAUCAACAAUUCAUUCUUUGCCUUUUAUUUUCCAUAAGGGUUGGUCAAUCUGCUGUGAUUCACAUUUCAGUAGCCUUUGAAGACUUAGAUACCAUUAGACUGAGCACUGAAAAGAUUCAUCAUCUACAACAUAAGCUGAUGUGUGAUCCCAAAGAGACCCUCAAGCUGCAUCACCAAGGCAAAACCACUGAGGACUGGAUCAUCUGCCUUUGCUUAUUAUACUGCAACAGGAACAGCCUGAUCUGAAAACAGUGGCCAGCUCCUUGAGUCUUGCUCUGUACUUUGGAGGACAAAGGGCACAG
rnacentral:lncRNA from 1 species